CCUACGGGAGGCAGCAGUGGGGAAUAUUGCACAAUGGGGGAAACCCUGAUGCAGCGACGCCGCGUGAGUGAAGAAGUAUUUCGGUACGUAAAGCUCUAUCAGCAGGGAAGAAAAUGACGGUACCUGACUAAGAAGCCCCGGCUAACUACGUGCCAGCAGCCGCGGUAAUACGUAGGGGGCAAGCGUUAUCCGGAUUUACUGGGUGUAAAGGGAGCGUAGACGGCAGCGCAAGUCUGGAGUGAAAUCCCAUGGCUUAACCAUGGAACUGCUUUGGAAACGGUGCAGCUAGAGUGCAGGAGAGGUAAGCGGAAUUCCUAGUGUAGCGGUGAAAUGCGUAGAUAUUAGGAGGAACACCAGUGGCGAAGGCGGCUUACUGGACUGUAACUGACGUUGAGGCUCGAAAGCGUGGGGAGCAAACAGGAUUAGAUACCCCAGUAGUC
rnacentral:rRNA from 1 species